GACGAACGCUGGCGGCGUGCCUAAUACAUGCAAGUAGAACGCAGUUGCGAACGGGUGAGUAACACGUAGGUAACUGCCUCAUAGCGGGGGAUAACUAUUGGAAACGAUAGCUAAUACCGCAUACUGUGAGGUGGACCUGCGGUGUAUUAGCUAGUUGGUGAGGUAAAGGUUCACCAAGGCGACGAUACAUAGCCGACCUGGGAGGGAGAUCGGCCACACUGGGACUGGGACACGGCCCAGACUACUACGGGAGGCAGCAGUAGGGAAUCUUCGGAAAUGGACGGAAGGCUGACCGAGCAACGCGGCGUGAGUGAAGAAGGUUCUCGGAGCGGAAAGCUCUGUUGGUAGAGGAGCGGUAACUAACCAGAAAGUGACGGCUAACUACGUGCCAGCAGCCGCGGUAAUUC
rnacentral:rRNA from 1 species